GACCCUUUUCGCGAAGCAGUUUGUUCUAGAGGAACGAGAUGGCGCUAUCGGAGGCGCGCCAUUGCUUGCCUCAGGCGCAAUUCUGCUCGAAUCCGAAACCACAUCCGCUGCUACCUUGCUACCGUGCGAUCAGCAGUCGGACCGCUAACGCACUGUGCUCCGUUCAAGCUGCGAAAUGUGGAAUGGUAGAGGCAAGACGUGUGCAGUAGUUGGCUGCAAGAACAGCGACUGGGACAUAAAAAUAUGGAAUGAAUCUGUGUGCGAAGUUCACGGACCGCUACUGCACAAGGACUGUCCGUGUUGCCGACCAUUCGCGAUGCACGGCUUCCCACAAGGAUUAAAAAAUGCCGUCGUCCGCCAGCGUUGGAUCGCAAAUCUUCAACGAAAAAACUUCGACCCCGGAACGUGGGCAAGAGUGUGUUCGGUCCAUUUUGUUGAUGGAUGUCCCACAAAAAAUAACCCAUACCCAACACUGCACCUUGGAACACCGGUAAUGUGCAAUUCUUCAUUCAUGCUCUCUCGCCAUAACUCCUGCUGUAUUGAAUAUAUAUGUUUUCUUUUUCUGUAUUUAAAAUUUAGACUAUCCAUCACAAAGGAAGAAGGCAGUUAAAGCGCCCUGCAACCUGCAUGCAAGAAGCUGAGACAACGGUCACCAUAUGCCCAGCGACAGCUGACACCAGCACUGAACAGCAGACAGCAAUGGACGAGCAAGAUGAAGGCGACAGUGAACCCUGCUACAGUUACAGUUACAUACCAAAUAGGCUGACAGAGGCAGAGGAAACACCAAGGAGCUGCUCGGCCUGCGGCUGCAAAUGCCAGUUUCUGGUGACAUCGGACAAGGAAGUUCAAGCCACAGCACAAUUAUCUGAACACACAUACAGCAAAC